UUUCUACUCCUCUUGUGAGAUGGGCAUUGAAUAAGAUCUGAAUUUCUCAAAUAGAAGCUUACAAAUUAAUAAUACUGCUGAUGCAAGAACCCAGAUAUUACCAUCCUUCAAAUUGACAAUAAUAAUCUGCAAGCUUGCGGCAGAACACAUCCCAGAAGCUAUGAUCCCUUGAAUAAUAUAGCAAUUGAAAGUAUACCUGGAGUUCUGCAGUCACUGUAAUCAGCAUAUAACUAUGGUAGAUAUCUUGAACCAAUAGUCUGAAAAUUAGAGCAGCACAUGAGAUCAAAAUCAUUGCAGUUUUUCCAACUCUUCCUAUCUCAUGUUAGUCAACAAUCGGACCAAUAGAUUCUACGUAGAAUAUAAAAAAUGAAAAAUUAAACCAUAUGAUAACUAUACCAAUUGCAAUGAAGGUAACCUAACAAGAAAAAAGAUAUGCACAGAAAACUCAACUGUUUUUCUUCAUUGAACAAUAUAUAGAAGCUUUGUAGAAGUGGCGGG
rnacentral:misc_RNA from 1 species